AGAGUUUGAUCCUGGCUCAGAUUGAACGCUGGCGGAAUGCUUUACACAUGCAAGUCGAACGAUGAACCCUAGCUUGCUAGGGGGAUUAGUGGCGAACGGGUGAGUAAUAUAUCGGAACGUGCCUUGUAAUGGGGGAUAACUAGUCGAAAGAUUAGCUAAUACCGCAUACGCCCUGAGGGGGAAAGUAGGGGACCUUCGGGCCUUGCGCUAUCAGAUGAGCCUAGGUCGGAUUAGCUAGUUGGUGGGGUAAUGGCUCACCAAGGCGACGAUCCGUAACUGGUCUGAGAGGAUGAUCAGUCACACUGGAACUGAGACACGGUCCAGACUCCUACGGGAGGCAGCAGUGGGGAAUAUUGGACAAUGGGCGAAAGCCUGAUCCAGCCAUGCCGCGUGUGUGAAGAAGGUCUUCGGAUUGUAAAGCACUUUAAGUUGGGAGGAAGG
rnacentral:rRNA from 1 species